GUAAAAAGGAGGUUGUCAAAGACUUGCUUUUUUCUUUACGCGCAUAAUUUCGUUUUCGUAUAUUCUUUUUUUAAACGCAACCCUUCAUGUACAAGAAAAUUUUAAACUACCUAUAC
rnacentral:misc_RNA from 1 species